AUUGAACGCUGGCGGAAUGCUUUACACAUGCAAGUCGAGCGGCAGCACGGGGGCAACCCUGGUGGCGAGCGGCGAACGGGUGAGUAAUACAUCGGAACAUGCCCAGUCGUGGGGGAUAACACUUCGAAAGAAGUGCUAAUACCGCAUACGUCCUGAGGGGGAAAGCGGGGGAUCGCAAGACCUCGCGCGAUUGGAGUGGCCGAUGUCAGAUUAGCUAGUUGGUGGGGUAAAGGCCCACCAAGGCAACGAUCUGUAGCUGGUCUGAGAGGAUGAUCAGCCACACUGGGACUGAGACACGGCCCAGACUCCUACGGGAGGCAGCAGUGGGGAAUUUUGGACAAUGGGGGCAACCCCGAUCCAGCCAUUCCGCGUGAGUGAAGAAGGCCUUCGGGUUGUAAAGCUCUUUCGGCAGGAACGAAACGGUGAGCUCUAACAUAGCUUGCUAAUGACGGUACCUGAAGAAGAAGCACCGGCUAACUACGUG
rnacentral:rRNA from 1 species